rnacentral:rRNA from 1 species
AUCAUGGCUCAGGAUGAACGCUGGCGGCGUGCCUAAUACAUGUAAGUCGAACGGAGUAUUAGCAAUAAUACUUAGUGGCGAACGGGUGAGUAACGCGUUGGUGACCUGCCCCGAAGAGAGGGAUAACAGUUCGAAAGGACUGCUAAUACCGCAUAAUAUCUCGCUAGUCAGAGAGGCGAGAUGAAAGGAGCAAUCCACUUUGGGAGGGGCCUGCGUCCCAUCAGCUAGUUGGUAAGGUAAAAGCCUACCAAGGCGAAGACGGGUAGGGGACCUGAGAGGGUGAUCCCCCACACUGGCACUGAAACACGGGCCAGACACCUACGGGUGGCAGCAGUAGGGAAUAUUGCACAAUGGGCGAAAGCCUGUUGCAGCAACGCCGCGUGCGCGAAGAAGGCCUUCGGGUCGUAAAGCGCUUUUCGGGGAGAUGAGGAAGGACAGUAUCCCCGGAAUAAGGCUCGGCUAACUACGUGCCAGCAGCCGCGGUAACACGUAGGAGCCAAGCGUUAUCCGAAUUCACUGGGCGUAAAGCGCGUGUAGGCGGCUUGAUAAGUUGGAUGUGAAAGCUCCUGGCUCAACUGGGAGAGGACGUACAAUACUGUCAAGCUAGAGUACGGCAGAGGGAGGUGGAAUUCCCGGUGUAGUGGUGAAAUGCGUAGAUAUCGGGAGGAACACCAGUGGCGAAAGCGGCCUUCUGGGCCGUUACUGACGCUCAGACGCGAAAGCUAGGGGAGCAAACGGGAUUAGAAACCCCGGUAGUCCUAGCCGUAAACGAUGUAGACUUGGUGUAGGUGGUGUAAAAGCCAUCGGUGCCGAAGCCAACGCGAUAAGUCUACCGCCUGGGGACUACGGCCGCAAGGUUAAAACUCAAAUGAAUUGACGG